rnacentral:rRNA from 1 species
AGAGGUUUGAUCAUGGCUCAGAUUGAACGCUGGCGGCAGGCCUAACACAUGCAAGUCGAGCGGCAGCGGGAAAGUAGCUUGCUACUUUUGCCGGCGAGCGGCGGACGGGUGAGUAAUGCCUGGGAAAUUGCCCAGUCGAGGGGGAUAACAGUUGGAAACGACUGCUAAUACCGCAUAAUGUCCACGGACCAAAGCGGGGGACCUUCGGGCCUCGCACCAUCAGAUGAACCCAUAUGGGAUUAGCUUGUAGGUGAGGUAACGGCUCACCUAGGCGACGAUCCCUAGCUGGUCUGAGAGGAUGAUCAGCCACACUGGAACUGAGACACGGUCCAGACUCCUACGGGAGGCAGCAGUGGGGAAUAUUGCACAAUGGGGGAAACCCUGAUGCAGCCAUGCCGCGUGUGUGAAGAAGGCCUUCGGGUUGUAAAGCACUUUCAGCGAGGAGGAAAGGUUGAUGCCUAAUACGUAUCAACUGUGACGUUACUCGCAGAAGAAGCACCGGCUAACUCCGUGCCAGCAGCCGCGGUAAUAC